CACACUAAGUGUGUGUGUGUUCGUACGACCAGGAAGGGGGAAACAAGGGUUCCACCCUUGUUCAAGCUAAAAACCCCAAAUUGAGGAUCAAUUCAAGACCAAAUCAAUGCAUGAACGCGUAUAAACGAUCACCAAGUCAAGAGGAUCGAAAGGUGAAAGCUUGGGAAGAAAACAAGUCAAACGAAUCAAGAAUGAAGAAAAAGCAUGAUCCGGGUGUAAGGUAAGUAUAUCUUACACUACUCUUGAAUUAUAGAAUAUUCUCUCAUCGUAUUAACUACGAAUAAGAUAAGUUAACAAUCAUGAUAUAAUGUUCCGACGUGUAGUCGUACGGAACAAGAUAACCGAAGAUGAUAAUAAACCAUGUUUAAUGGUUAAAAAGGGCUAAUAUGGUUACUUAGUCAAGCAAUGACUAAUAAACAUAGAAUUCUUGAUUGAUACCUUAUAUGGUAAACCAGAACAAACGAUAAGGGUAAAACGGAAAUUUUGGUCAUACGUUGACCGUAACCGUUAGUUAUUGAAAAACACUUAUGAUAUAAGCCAUAAUAGGCCAAAAGUGUUAAGAAAUGAGUUAUACGUAAAAUGACCGCAUGGUGUAAACCGGAGCGAGUCAUAUAGACGAGAAGGUAAUAAAUGUCAUCUCCUGAUUAUAAUCGGUCAUUUAGACCAAACGGGUCAAAAGGUGAAAAUAUCACUCAUUGACAAAAUCGACUAAUGGCUUGUCGAGUGGUGUGAUUACAGGGAUAAUUAUCGAGUGAAUAUCUACAUCGCUAUUACUUAGAAACUGUUGAGGCAAGGUAUUUAAAUGGGUCAAUAUAAUGAUCCGAGCCAGGUACGCAUGAUAGAAUAACUCUCAUUUAAAUGUAAGGUUUGAUGAGAGUUAAAUGGACUCAAAAAUAGAUUUCUGGUUACUUUAAUAGGUAAACCAAAUGUUACGGAUGAUGGUCAUUACAUUUGAAAGGCAUAAUGACUUUUCAAAUAAAACCAUAGUUAAAAAGAGGGCUUAUGGGUCAACAUCUUUGCAAUAAUCUCUCAUAGUUAAUGAAGGGCCAAAAUGGACCAAAAUGCCCUUAUAAGUUAAACUGAGCAAACAACCCUUAAAGGUUGUUUGGAAACAAGUUUCAUAAUUAGAUAAAUACUUAGAAUAAGUAUAGAAGCUGAAAGAGGUAAUAUGUUAGUCAAAUGGCACUAUUUGAGUCUUUGCCGUAAAAUAAUGAUUCGAGAGGUAAAAUUUGGUUUAUAUAGAUCACCACAUUAAACCCACCAUAAAUAUAGUUGUGGUGGAAGAUUAUAUGAUGAGAAAUGUGGUGAUGGGAUGCUAGAAGCAAAUGAAAGCGAUUUUAGGCUUGAAAGUGCUUAAAUACCCUUAACGGGUCAAAAUAAGCACUUAAGCGUAAACGGGUUUUUAUUAUGUAAGAAACUCGUGAUUUGAGAUUAAUAUGAUAGGAGAUAUUGAAGUUAUGAAUUUCAUGAGUUUAAAGAUCAAAUAAACAUGUUUGUGUGAUAAAAUCAUGAACGGGUUAAAAUUUAGUAAAAAAGGUCGUAAGCCGAAGAUUUAUAAGUCUGAAAUUUUGUUAAUCCGGAUGUCGGAUUUUAACUCCAUGAGAUGGAGAAUUAAAUUACGGUCACGUAGGAAAAAGAAUCGCGUAAAACGGACUUGUAUAGUGAAAGUUAUGCAAGUUCUAAGUUAAUAUUUGGUGAAUUUUCGUAGCUGGGCAAAGUGCAGCAACAAUAAAGGAACUUGCUGUCAAAGAAGGGGCUAGGUGGGGCGUCUAGCCCCUAGGUGGGCCGUCUAGCCCCCCCUGAAUCCCAAAAUUGUUUAAUUUUGUUUGUUUGGCCCACAUAACUUGUUUAAACUUGUUAUUUAACUAUCAAAACUAACUUUUAAGUUGGUUUUGAUCAUAGGUGAAUGUCAAGAGUGCCCGAAUGAAGAUCAAGCUCGAUGAGGAACCGAACACGAUAAAAUACAAGCUUCCGCGCGGCGUUUCGUCGUAUCUUUUAAACGACGAAUUCAAUUACAUUAAGUUGUAUAUUCUUUUAAAUUGUAAAAGUUUUAACUAACCUUAUUUAUUAAAAUUACAUGUUUGUUUUCGUAAACUAUACGAAAACCGUAAAAUAAUAACAAGGGUGCUAC
rnacentral:lncRNA from 1 species